UGGAGUGGGAACGGGGGGUUGGGUGCUUGAGGGAAAUGAGUAAGCAAGAAAAAUCUAACUAAGUAAAUCCAAGGCCUCGCUUCUAAGAGCCCCGGGGCGGGAGUGGCCGCCCCAGGGGUGGGUAUAGUGUUUACGUGUGUUUCUUUUGGGGGGUGGAUGGAUGGGCAAUUGAAACCCAGAUGAGGGCUUCACGCCCGUGGCCGAGUUGAGCUGCUUUCUGUCUUGCUUCCCUUGUGCUGAAGGGGGAGGGGGCGGGUCAGAGGGUAGGGUGUCUGUGGGGUUCCCAGGCCACCCGCCACCCCCUCCCUUUGUCCCUGUAAUUUAUAAAGCGCCUUUGAGAGAUGAUUUAGGUCAGUAUGCGGCUUCCCUUUUUGUUGCUACUAGAAAGAAGUGUGGCCCCGAGGUCUCCCCUUCUUCCUUUCUUUCCUGCAUUCCUUCCUCCAUGCCUCCUGUCUUCACCCUCGUGUUGAGGCUUGGCCCAGACCAGGCUAGAACCCACCCGGACUCAGCUAUCUGUGGUUGCAUGGUAAUACCAGUCGAGGACCUCACCUAGCUUUAGGUCUAGAUGUGUUUGUUUUGCACAAUCAAUAUUUCGCUGGGGUCUUAAGAAGAAAGUCUGUGCACAUAUAUAGGACUUAGGAAAUGGGGUGGGUGGAUAAAUAAUUAAUUUUUUAAAAUUCUCUUUCUGUUCAUAAUUUUGCCCUGGGUUGGAUCUUUAGUGCUUUCCAGCCUAGAGAUACUUACUGGGGAUGUGCGAUACAGUCCCAGUAAAAGAGGCUCAUCCUUUUAGUGACUAGGGUCUGCCAGCAGGGGGGAAGCCGAGUACAGUACCUGCUUACACAUUCAGUAUCCAGUGUGCUAGAUUCUCAGGCACAGAAUAUUCCAUUCUUUCAUUAGCAGUAAAUAAUUUUUCGGACUUGAUUAAACAUGCUUGGCCAUACAGAAACCCUAUUUCCCCCUACACAAUCGGUUCCUAUUUCAUAAAUAACCUGGAACAACUGGCUAUUGACAUGCUUCUUGGAUUAGGUUCAGGUUUGCAGGGAACGUUAUUUUUGAUAAUAGGAAAUUGUGAGACUACUAAAUUGCUCUUUAAAAAAACUUAGACUAUUUGUUGGACCAGGUCACCAAGACUGUCUAACCAGAUUUAUGUGUAGUUCACUGUAGUUAAGUAUUUAAAAUACAAAAAUAUUGCCUUCGUUGUCUUGCAAGUUGUUUCUAAACUUUAUUAGCCUUCUUGCCAUGAAGUUAUUCCAGGAGUAUAGAUUGUUUUGAAUUUGGAUACUUAAAAAUAAUGUUUCAUUAUAGGGAUAUAAAUGCUUAUACAUAUUCAAAAGUCAUUUUAUGUAAGAUUGUAAUGUAUGCUGAAUCACUGGUUAAUCUACGAUUUCAAUGCUGUAUCUUCUGGGAGGGGUAUGAAGUUUUAUCUCCCAAGUGCAUACAAAGUCCUCAGUAUUGCGGGCAAUGUUUGAUUUUUUUUUUUCUUCUUAUCAGUAUUUCAGUAGGCUUCCUGUUCAGUCUUGAAAUUUAUUUUAUUUUAUUUUUGAGGCAGGGUCUCUUGUAGCCUUGAACUCCUGAUCUUGACUCGAGUGUCCACAUUCUGAGAUUAAAGACAUGUACCACCCUGUGUUUUGGGAUUCUGUUGAUGUUUUCUCCUGAGCAUGAAGGUUGGGAAGGUGUGUCAAAUGAACCAAAAUAGGACUAUUCAAACAUUAUAUGUUCAAGAAGAGGUGGGAGAUUCUUCAGGUGAUCAGAGUUCUAGACCCACAUGGGUCUACUUUCAUGUUCCGACUCCAGAACAUUUGAGAGCUUGACAGAGCAAGUGGCUUGCCUUCUCAUUAACUGUAGCCUCUUGUCUUCAUUUACAAGCUGUCUGCUGUUAGACAAAUAACUUAAUCUGUCAGAAUUGUUCAUUAUUCUACAAAAUAGGAAGGUAAUAAUUCUAACUUUGAGGUUUUUAAAAAGCAAUAUGAUAAUACAUGUAUAAUACUUAAGUACAAGGCCUGGCAAAUAGUAGCUGCUCCAUAAAAUUAGUCUUCAUAAAUCAAGUAUUUUUAUAACUCAGGGGCUGCAUACAUAACUGUCCCUUUGUUUACCUAUAUGAACAGAAUGAUCUAAAGUGGUAUGUAAUUCCAUUCUUCCAGGAAAUUGAGAAUCUGUUAAUGCAAGAGGCAGUAGCCUAUCACGUCAGAUUGACUUUAAUUCAGUCAUCGCAACCUGCUGGUUAUACAUUUCAAAGGAGCCCUCCAUGCCUAAUAAAUCUCAUCUGAGAAUGGAAGACUGUAGAUGCUAUUUCAGCAGGGUCUCUUUUCCUGAACAAGUUUGAAAGAAGAAAAAUGUGGGUUCCUGUGGUUCUGUAUGCAGUAAUCUUGCUUCUACAGAAAUGUAUGGUGGAUGCCAAGUUGAAGCUGGGAGAGAAUUUUUAGUCACUACAUACCCCAAAAUGGAAGUUUUAAUAUAAUGCAAUGCCCAGACGUGGGCAGGACAAAUAGCUCCACUAUAAUCAGUACCGAGGGCGCCACCCUAAUCAUCCCUGGGAACAAAGCACCCUUAACCGAGCUAAAGCACCCAAGCAUGAGAACAGGAAAGGAUUUUUUUUAAUGUGGAUUUUUCUAAAAAUCGCCACCUUGUAUAAUACUUGGAAGAAGGACAGAGUCUGUGGAGUUUAACAGCGUGUGGUGUAACGUUAACUUGGGAAAAGAAUAUCUGUCUACCUUGGGCUUAGGAAUAAAUACCAACACCUGGGGAGUGAAAAGACUGGCGGGGUGGGGGGAGUAUUUUGUGUCUUAGAAGUAAAAAGCAGUUUCCCCUACUUUUCUCUAUUGUCAUUUCCAGUGAGACCACACACACACACACACACACACACACACACACACACACUUUUAGUCCCUUCCAAUUGGCUAUUUUCUCCAACUUACCCUGAUUAUUUAUAUAAAUAGUCCAUAUGACUGGGUAUAAACGUUGCCCCAAGCCAGCCAACUCCAAUUCUUUUUACCCGUCUAUUUUUUUUUUUUAGUAAUAUUUUAAUCAGGAUGGGUGAAGACCAUUUACUUAAUAUACUGAGUACCCCAAGGUCUGUGAAGAUAAUUGAAAAUAGUGCAAGGAAGAAAGAUUCCAGUUUCCACCUCUGCCCCCCAUGCUGAAGGGAACAUCCCUGAAUUCUUUGAGUUGGUGAAGAGCCCCCGCCCAGUAAUACUUCACAGGACUAUGAAUAAAGACCAGAUAAACGGGAAACCACAGAUGUAGGACCUUCCUUCUCCAUCCUGUCUGCCCUCUAAGAAUGCCUGGGAAAAUGCUCUCACACAGAGAAGGGAUAUACUGCAGAAGGUACCAGAAAGCAGCCACUCAAGAGACUGGCAAGGUGUGGGUAGGGUUAAUUCUGUGGGAUUAUUUAGGUGGCUUUCCAGUAGGGGGGAAUGUUUAGUUUAUUUUCAUCUUAUACCUUUGCCUUAAAUGUUCACCUCAAAUAUUUAAGUUGUAAGAAUGUAUUUCUACCCGGCCUUAAUGGGAGUCGGUCUUGUGGCCACACUUACCUGCAACUGCGAAGAUGUGGUAAAGCCAGGGUGGAAUCCAAAAGGUCCCCAUAAACUUAACUUUGCUGGAGACCCUGAGUACCAGGCCGAGGCUGUGCUUUGUAAUGUAAGACAGGAGCGAUGUUAGCUUGAGGAUGAAGCCAGUGAGAAGAUAGCUGAUUGAAUCCAGUAGAUAAAAAAGAAUGAGUGAUUUCAGUUUGCUUUCUCUUCGGUAGCCCAACUGUUUGGGGCCAUUUGUAAUGUCCAUGCAGCAUUCUUAUAACUUGAUGCCAAUAUUUCAGGUUAGCAUAUUCACUACUUGGUAAAUGUGAUGGUUUGGGACUCAUAGUGUGGGAGUUUAUAAUACGUAGCUCUUAUUAUCCAACCUGGCUUCUUUUGCAGGUGAUACAAUUAAAGGUCCACUGCAAGUUACAUUGCUCAGCCAAGGUCACAAGGCAGCAGAGGGCAGGCCAGAACUGAAACUGGAGAUUCUUGCCUUCUUAUCAGCUCUUUUUGUGAGGAGAGGGUUAAUGGUCUUAGAUGCCCUACAUGGGAGACUUAGGUGUGUGGACAACGUUUUAAGUUUUCAUCAGAAGUGCACUUUGAACCACCAGCUCUGAAGUCACAACUUAUUCCCAGAGAUGCUAAGAAAUCAAGGCUGCUGUACACACUCAGUGAAACGGACUUUUAAAUGGAGAGGAAUGACAGGUUUUCCUAAAUAGUGGUAGCAGUGGUUUUUUUUUUUUUUUUUUUUUUUUAAGCUUGAUCUGAUGUUUGAAAUUCAAAUUAUUUUUUUAGGUGUGACAUUUCUAGUGCCCUGAGAGAGAUGAUUUUACUUAAUCAACAACAGCCUAAAAGGAUCUUUGAAACUUUCUUGGGAGAGGGACAUCACAGGAGGUACCCUCAACCAUCCACAUCCUAAAUGACAGACACGGUUUCGCAAGGUUCCCUGGGCCUUUGCAUUGUACCAUUGACCAAGAGGCUCUUCCUCUGUGGUUAGCUCCAGGAAGAUUUCUGAUGUGUCAAAGCCGCCGAUCAGUUAACUCUUUCAGAGGAAGUUAUCUAAAGCCAAAGCUCAUUUCCUUAAAAUGACCUUAUUUUACUUGUGGAACCGAGAAAGCUUAAAAAUAGAAUUGCUUCAAGCUCUGAAGCCGGAAAGUGAAACAUAAUCCAACAUGGUUGCAGCUCACAGCCUGCCCUGGGACAGGGGUAUCUGUUUAUCUGUAAUCCGCAAGCCAGGAAGGUCCCCUGUGUGCAUAAGGGCCUACUUCCUGUGAGCCGUGAGUAGCAAUUGAUGAGAGUCCCGUUAUCAGUAAGCUGAGUUCCUCUGGAAGCACAUUUGAUGGCUGGAGGAGGUGAAUGCCCUUGGCCUUCCCUGCCAGCUCUUGCCAGUCUGCCCUGGAGAACCUUGUAGUUCUUCUAGCAUGCUUUUGAGUGAUUGCUGAGAACAGCUCCAUCCUGCCCUAGUUUCGUGAUCUGUUGUGUGUGGCUAUGAACUCCUGGAUGUAGGAAGUGAACACAGACAGGGCCUGCAUGUUUCACUCCUUCCUGUGGUGGGACUUCGGGAAAACAUAACCGGAGCAGCAUCCUCAAGUCUUAGACCAUCACCUUUGCCAUUCCACAUUCGGCCUUUCUGUGCAAAGAUGGUGGCAUGAGUAUAAAAGCCACACUCCUCCUAAAAGGCAGCGUGAGAGACAGCUAGGUAUAAAGUUAAAUGGUGGCUGGAGUUGCCUGGGUUCCUUUUCUGCCUCCACCUGCUAGCUGUAUGACUCUCCAUUUGCUACCUUCUCCAUUUGCUCAUCUUUCUGGGGUGGGGGAGUACUCACAAGGGGGAAGAAGAAAUGAGCUGAUGUCUGGGAAGUGCUUGAUCCAGUGCCCCACAGAGGUAUGAUAGAGUUGCCAGGCCCUUUGUGGCCUUCUCUUGCACUGUAUUCUGUGUCUUGGUUUUUUCAUUACCCAUUAGUGUUCAUUUCAAACCAUUUACACCUCUAAGAAUGAUGGUUCCUGGGAGGGGGAGGAGUGUAUCCUACAGUGGAUGUUGCCUACUGCCAUCACUGGGCCCCUGGUCUUUGUUACCUCUUUCUAAGCUGCCCAUUGACUUGGGAGGAGAAAGAGAAGAAUAAGUUUCUUAUUGUCAUAGUACAAUCAGCAGUACUAAAUGUUAUGAAUAAAACCUUUAUUUCUCUGA